CGCCAAAGCUCACACUGGCAGAAACCAUAGCCCCCAGCCGCCACACCCCUGACCCCUCCUUCCUCCUCCCUCGCUCCUCACCGCAGCCGUCGUGCCCCUCCCCCGCAGCCCCAGGACCUCCAUCUCCUCCAUGCGUCCUCGCUGCCGCCGCAGCCUCGGGCGCACCCUCUCCUUCAACCCCAUGUGAAAUCGAGCAUCCUGGCGGUGCCUUGACUGAUCCAUGAUGAUGGCUAGCGCAGGUGAGCGCCACACAUGGUGUAGCAGGCUUGGAGGCAGCGGGCGCGGCGGUCAAGGCCAAGGGCACGUCGAGCGACGAUGACCACAUCCGCCACCAACAACGAGGUGAGAUUCACCCAAUCUCUCUCUCUACCUCUCUCCAUGCGGCCUCCUCCCCUCGACCCCAGAUUCGUCGAUGAGAUAUGCCAUCCAUCUUCUACAGCCUCAUAGUUUUCUUUGUUUAUGUGAUUAUUUUGGAAUUUUAGCUCUAUGCAGCCACUUUCUUGAUUAAGUUCAGAAAAUGGCGGCAACUGUUGGUUAGUGGUUGAACUUGGUUCAUAUGCUUUGAAUAAAAUUGUUUUCAUAUAUCAUGUUAUGCAGCCAGGAUGCAUCAAAUCAUUUUUUUACUUCACAAAAUAAUGUUGCGAGCGUAAAUUUAUACCGGCCAGAGAUAGCAAUAUACCAAGGGUCCUGGGAAUUUGAUUCAUAAAUGCAGGGAAGUUAUUGAUGCAUCUGAGCUGCUCUAUCUGAUUAUAUUUUAUUAAGACCCCGUCAUUUUAUAAACCAUGUAAAGGAAUUGCUUAACAAAUGUGAGAUGUUGUCCUUUAUUUGUACAUCCAUGUUCUUGCACGGUAUACAAAUUUUGGUCCUUUUUUUGCAUGUUUUGUUGAUUUUUUAAAGCAAGAUACUAUUUCUACGGGUUCCAAAAUGUAUCGAAGAUUGCCAGGGAGUUGAUUACACCAUCUGUGGAAUAUGACAUCGCCCUUUAGGUAAUUUCACUUUGACCUGGAUUAAUGACAGGUUGCCAAAAAAUAUUGGGGGAAAUAUGGCUCUAGAGAAAGUUUAAUGUGAAUUUGGGAUUGACAUCUCAGUCUGCAAUGCAUUGAAAAUUUAUGGUAGAAGUGUUUAUAUUGUUAACUGGGACGAGGAUUAGAAUUUCUUGCUUUUUACUAAUUGGUUUUGUUUUCUACUUUGCUCUUCCUUCUCAGUCUUUAUUUAUCUUUGCGGCAUAAAUUCAAAUGAUUAUUAGCAGUCUGCCUUGAAUUACAAUGACAACCAGUCAGCACUACAAUGUCACGAACUUUGCACUUUGAUUUGUUUUCAUUGUAUAAAGUGUUGAUCAAUUUCACAGGAUAAAGAAGCCUAAGCCUAAAGUCAUCAUGGUUGAGGUUGAUAGUAUAUCUGCUGGUGAUAGUGGUGGAGCUGCUGAUCUUAUUGCAAGAUUCUUAUAUUUUGCAUUUGUAAUGACAGUUAUAGCAAGAAGCUUAAGAGCACUGUAAAUUACCUAUUUGGUACCCAACUUCAGGAAACCAACAAAGUAGCAGAUACAAGUCCGCUUGCAAUUUUUGGGAGAAUACACAGUUCCUUUGGGUUCAUCGCUCGGUUUUGUCCCUGAUAUGCUUACUGCUCCUACAUGGCUCUUCAGGGUUAUGGAUGGAGUGCGUUAUUUCGACGGUCCUCUACUCUAUUUUUUUGUUGCGUGUGCCUUCAGGUCCAUCAGGUAUAAUUGUGCUUCACCUCCAAACGUGGUUUUAUGCUAUCUUGGUGUUUUCUCUUUUGUUUAAUUCAUUGUUGUAUCGCUCAAGGGCAUCUUGAUUAGUUUGAAUUAUGCUUUUUUAGCUAGGAUGAAUUUAUGAAUGGUUGCCCUUUUCUGUUGAUUAAGUAUUUGUGUGCA